rnacentral:rRNA from 1 species
UACGUAGGGACCGAGCGUUGUCCGGAAUCAUUGGGCGUAAAGAGCUCGUAGGCGGCUGCUCAAGUCGAAUGUGAAAACUCGAGGCUCAACCUCGAGCCUGCAUUCGAUACUGGGCGGCUAGAGUCUGGUAGGGGGAUCUGGAAUUCCUGGUGUAGCGGUGAAAUGCGCAGAUAUCAGGAGGAACACCGGUGGCGAAGGCGGGUCUCUGGGCCGGAUACUGACGCUGAGGAGCGAAAGCGUGGGG